rnacentral:rRNA from 1 species
GACGAACGCUGGCGGCGUGCUUAACACAUGCAAGUCGAACGGAAAGGCCCUGCUUUUGUGGGGUGCUCGAGUGGCGAACGGGUGAGUAACACGUGAGUAACCUGCCCUUGACUUUGGGAUAACUUCAGGAAACUGGGGCUAAUACCGGAUAGGAGCUCCUGCUGCAUGGUGGGGGUUGGAAAGUUUCGGCGGUUGGGGGUGGACUCGCGGCUUAUCAGCUUGUUGGUGGGGUAGUGGCUUACCAAGGCUUUGACGGGUAGCCGGCCUGAGAGGGUGACCGGCCACAUUGGGACUGAGAUACGGCGCAGACUCCUACGGGAGGCAGCAGGGGGGAAUAUUGCACAAUGGGCGGAAGCGUGAUGCAGCAACGCCGCGUGCGGGAUGACGGCCUUCGGGUUGUAAACCGCUUUCGCCUGUGACGAAGCGUGAGUGACGGUAAUGGGUAAAGAAGCACCGGCUAACUACGUG